rnacentral:lncRNA from 11 species
CAAACAAGAUAGACAUGCUGGAUUUCGUAUCACAAAAUCACAAGUCGAACACUUCCCAAGUGUCUAGGACUGUGUGAUGUAUUAUUAUUAUUAUUAUUAUUAUUAUUAUUAUUAUUAUUAUUAUGACGCAGCAAACAAGAUAGACAUGCUGGAUUUCGUGUCACAAAAUCACAAGUCGAACACUUCCCAAGUGUCUAGGACUGUGUGAUGUAUUUUCGGAUGAUGCUGCAGAUCCCAGUCGGGUGGCCUUUUGCAGUUGGCAGAUCGUAAUUUUGUCAAUGUCUAUUGUUUCCAAAUGCCGGCUGAGAUCUUUUGGCACGGCACCCAGUGUGCCCAUCACUUGAGUAUAAGCCGACCUGAAUAUAAGCCGAGGCACCUAAUUUUACCCUAAAAAACUGGGAAAACUUAUUGAUAUACUUAUAUACGGUAAUCUAUUUUCGGCAAUGAUUUGUAAACAAAGACUUUGGUUAAUCUCUGUAGCUGCAGGUGGGUUCCCGUGAGAGCUCUCCUUAUCACUCAGCUCUUCACUCGAUUCCUUAUCUGCUGUUGCUACUUCUGAACAGUUGUUCUGUCUGUCCGUGACAAGCCUUGGACAAGAGAUGGCUGGUCUUUGACUCUCUUUGUCUCCCUUCCAGAGUCCGACCGAGAGGAUGGGAGUUACUGCCCCCCGGUAAAGCGGGAGAGGACGUCCUCGCUCACCCAGUUCCCUCCCUCGCAGCCAGUCACAAAGAACAAUGUCUUCAUGCCAUCGAGCUUCUGUGAACCUUCGGCGGGAAACUCCGACUCGGAGCCAGGUAAGCGCCUCGAGUCGGUUUCCGCCGCGCACUCAUGCCGGGAAGGGAGGGAGGUUAUGUGUCCCCCUUGCGCUGAAAAGUCGCAAAAAUCAUCACACA